CAAGGAAUCUUGGGCAAUGGGCGAAAGCCUGACCCAGCGACGCCGCGUGAGGGAUGAAGGCCUUCGGGUCGUAAACCUCUUUUAUCGGGGAAGAAGUUCUGACGGUACCCGAUGAAUAAGCCACGGCUAACUACGUGCCAGCAGCCGCGGUAAUACGUAGGUGGCGAGCGUUGUCCGGAUUUACUGGGCGUAAAGGGCUUGUAGGCGGUCCGUUAAGUCCGAUGUGAAAUCUCCCGGCUCAACUGGGAUAGGUCAUUGGAUACUGGCGGACUAGAGGGGGGUAGAGGAGGGCAGAAUUCCUGGUGUAGCGGUGAAAUGCGUAGAUAUCAGGAGGAAUACCAGUGGCGAAGGCGGCUCUCUGGGCCUACCCUGACGCUGAGGAGCGAAAGCGUGGGGAGCAAACCGGAUUAGAUACCCGGGUAGUCCACGCCCUAAACGGUGGAUGCUAGGUGUGGGGGGUGUAGGACCCCUUCCGUGCCGCAGCUAACGCUUUAA
rnacentral:rRNA from 1 species